CCUACGGGGGGCUGCAGUGGGGAAUAUUGCACAAUGGGCGCAAGCCUGAUGCAGCCAUGCCGCGUGUGUGAAGAAGGCCUUCGGGUUGUAAAGCACUUUCAGCGGGGAGGAAGGCGGUGAGGUUAAUAACCUCAUCGAUUGACGUUACCCGCAGAAGAAGCACCGGCUAACUCCGUGCCAGCAGCCGCGGUAAUACGGAGGGUGCAAGCGUUAAUCGGAAUUACUGGGCGUAAAGCGCACGCAGGCGGUCUGUCAAGUCGGAUGUGAAAUCCCCGGGCUCAACCUGGGAACUGCAUACGAAACUGGCAGGCUAGAGUCUUGUAGAGGGGGGUAGAAUUCCAGGUGUAGCGGUGAAAUGCGUAGAGAUCUGGAGGAAUACCGGUGGCGAAGGCGGCCCCCUGGACAAAGACUGACGCUCAGGUGCGAAAGCGUGGGGAGCAAACAGGAUUAGAUACCCCGGUAGUC
rnacentral:rRNA from 1 species